GGUUAAGCGACUAAGCGUACACGGUGGAUGCCCUGGCAGUCAGAGGCGAUGAAGGACGUGCUAAUCUGCGAAAAGCGUCGGUAAGGUGAUAUGAACCGUUACAGCCGGCGAUGUCCGAAUGGGGAAACCCAGUGCAAUUCGUUGCACUAUCGUUAACUGAAUACAUAGGUUAACGAGGCGAACCGGGGGAACUGAAACAUCUAAGUACCCCGAGGAAAAGAAAUCAACCGAGAUUCCCCCAGUAGCGGCGAGCGAACGGGGAGCAGCCCAGAGUCUGAAUCAGCUUGUGUGUUAGUGGAACGGUCUGGAAAGUCCGACGGUACAGGGUGAUAGUCCCGUACACCAAAAUGCACAGGCUGUGAACUCGAAGAGUAGGGCGGGACACGUGGUAUCCUGUCUGAAUAUGGGGGGACCAUCCUCCAAGGCUAAAUACUCCUGACUGACCGAUAGUGAACCAGUACCGUGAGGGAAAGGCGAAAAGAACCCCGGCGAGGGGAGUGAAAAAGAACCUGAAACCGUGUACGUACAAGCAGUGGGAGCACCUUCGGGUGUGACUGCGUACCUUUUGUAUAAUGGGUCAGCGACUUAUAUUCUGUAGCAAGGUUAACCGUAUAGGGGAGCCGCAGGGAAACCGAGUCUUAACUGGGCGUUAAGUUGCAGGGUAUAGACCCGAAACCCGGUGAUCUAGCCAUGGGCAGGUUGAAGGUUGGGUAACACUAACUGGAGGACCGAACCGACUAAUGUUGAAAAAUUAGCGGAUGACUUGUGGCUGGGGGUGAAAGGCCAAUCAAACCGGGAGAUAGCUGGUUCUCCCCGAAAGCUAUUUAGGUAGCGCCUCGUGAAUUCAUCUUCGGGGUAGAGCACUGUUUCGGCUAGGGGGUCAUCCCGACUUACCAACCCGAUGCAAACUACGAAUACCGAAGAAUGUUAUCACGGGAGACACACGGCGGGUGCUAACGUCCGUCGUGAAGAGGGAAACAACCCAGACCGCCAGCUAAGGUCCCAAAGUCAUGGUUAAGUGGGAAACGAUGUGGGAAGGCACAGACAGCCAGGAUGUUGGCUUAGAAGCAGCCAUCAUUUAAAGAAAGCGUAAUAGCUCACUGGUCGAGUCGGCCUGCGCGGAAGAUGUAACGGGGCUAAACCAUGCACCGAAGCUGCGGCAGCGACACUAUGUGUUGUUGGGUAGGGGAGCGUUCUGUAAGCCUGCGAAGGUGACCUGUGAGGGUUGCUGGAGGUAUCAGAAGUGCGAAUGCUGACAUAAGUAACGAUAAAGCGGGUGAAAAGCCCGCUCGCCGGAAGACCAAGGGUUCCUGUCCAACGUUAAUCGGGGCAGGGUGAGUCGACCCCUAAGGCGAGGCCGAAAGGCGUAGUCGAUGGGAAACAGGUUAAUAUUCCUGUACUUGGUGUUACUGCGAAGGGGGACGGAGAAGGCUAUGUUAGCCGGGCGACGGUUGUCCCGGUUUAAGCAUGUAGGCUGGUUAUCCAGGCAAAUCCGGAUAAUCAAGGCUGAGGUGUGAUGACGAGGCACUACGGUGCUGAAGUAACAAAUGCCCUGCUUCCAGGAAAAGCCUCUAAGCAUCAGGUAACAUCAAAUCGUACCCCAAACCGACACAGGUGGUCAGGUAGAGAAUACCAAGGCGCUUGAGAGAACUCGGGUGAAGGAACUAGGCAAAAUGGUGCCGUAACUUCGGGAGAAGGCACGCUGGUGUGUAGGUGAAGUCCCUGCGGAUGGAGCUGAGACCAGUCGAAGAUACCAGCUGGCUGCAACUGUUUAUUAAAAACACAGCACUGUGCAAACACGAAAGUGGACGUAUACGGUGUGACGCCUGCCCGGUGCCGGAAGGUUAAUUGAUGGGGUUAUCCGUAAGGAGAAGCUCUUGAUCGAAGCCCCGGUAAACGGCGGCCGUAACUAUAACGGUCCUAAGGUAGCGAAAUUCCUUGUCGGGUAAGUUCCGACCUGCACGAAUGGCGUAAUGAUGGCCAGGCUGUCUCCACCCGAGACUCAGUGAAAUUGAACUCGCUGUGAAGAUGCAGUGUACCCGCGGCAAGACGGAAAGACCCCGUGAACCUUUACUAUAGCUUGACACUGAACAUUGAGCCUUGAUGUGUAGGAUAGGUGGGAGGCUUUGAAGCGUGGACGCCAGUCUGCGUGGAGCCAACCUUGAAAUACCACCCUUUAAUGUUUGAUGUUCUAACGUUGGCCCCUUACCGGGGUUGCGGACAGUGUCUGGUGGGUAGUUUGACUGGGGCGGUCUCCUCCCAAAGCGUAACGGAGGAGCACGAAGGUUAGCUAAUCCUGGUCGGACAUCAGGAGGUUAGUGCAAUGGCAUAAGCUAGCUUGACUGCGAGCGUGACGGCGCGAGCAGGUGCGAAAGCAGGUCAUAGUGAUCCGGUGGUUCUGAAUGGAAGGGCCAUCGCUCAACGGAUAAAAGGUACUCCGGGGAUAACAGGCUGAUACCGCCCAAGAGUUCAUAUCGACGGCGGUGUUUGGCACCUCGAUGUCGGCUCAUCACAUCCUGGGGCUGAAGUAGGUCCCAAGGGUAUGGCUGUUCGCCAUUUAAAGUGGUACGCGAGCUGGGUUUAGAACGUCGUGAGACAGUUCGGUCCCUAUCUGCCGUGGGCGCUGGAGAAUUGAGGGGGGCUGCUCCUAGUACGAGAGGACCGGAGUGGACGCAUCACUGGUGUUCGGGUUGUCAUGCCAAUGGCACUGCCCGGUAGCUAAAUGCGGAAGAGAUAAGUGCUGAAAGCAUCUAAGCACGAAACUUGCCCCGAGAUGAGUUCUCCCUGAGACUUUAAGUCUCCUGAAGGAACGUUAAAGACGAUGACGUUGAUAGGCCGGGUGUGUAAGCGCAGCGAUGCGUUGAGCUAACCGGUACUAAUGAACCGUGAGGCUUAACCUU
rnacentral:rRNA from 1 species